rnacentral:rRNA from 1 species
AUUGAACGCUGGCGGCAGGCCUAACACAUGCAAGUCGAGCGGAUGAGGGGAGCUUGCUCCCUGAUUUAGCGGCGGACGGGUGAGUAAUGCCUAGGAAUCUGCCUGGUAGUGGGGGAUAACGUUCCGAAAGGAACGCUAAUACCGCAUACGUCCUACGGGAGAAAGCAGGGGACCUUCGGGCCUUGCGCUAUCAGAUGAGCCUAGGUCGGAUUAGCUAGUUGGUGAGGUAAUGGCUCACCAAGGCGACGAUCCGUAACUGGUCUGAGAGGAUGAUCAGUCACACUGGAACUGGGACACGGUCCAGACUCCUACGGGAGGCAGCAGUGGGGAAUAUUGGACAAUGGGCGAAAGCCUGAUCCAGCCAUGCCGCGUGUGUGAAGAAGGUCUUCGGAUUGUAAAGCACUUUAAGUUGGGAGGAAGGGCUGCUGGUUAAUACCCUGCAGUUUUGACGGUACCAACAGAAUAAGCACCGGCUAACUUCGUG